AUUCCUAGAGGAAUAAAUCUCAUUAGAGUCAGCGAGCCAAUAAGCACGCAGAAUGCUUCUACUAAGAUCCAAUAAUGCUGCUGAUUGGCUGUCUAAUGUUACACGUCCAGGAGACACGCAGG